UACGAAGGGGGCUAGCGUUGCUCGGAAUCACUGGGCGUAAAGCGCACGUAGGCGGCUUUCUAAGUCAGGGGUGAAAUCCCGGAGCUCAACUCCAGAACUGCCUUUGAUACUGGGAAGCUUGAGUCCGGAAGAGGUGAGUGGAACUGCGAGUGUAGAGGUGAAAUUCGUAGAUAUUCGGAAGAACACCAGUGGCGAAGGCGGCUCACUGGUCCGGUACUGACGCUGAGGUGCGAAAGCGUGGGGAGCAAACAGG
rnacentral:rRNA from 1 species